GCUGAAUUUUCCUGUUUCCCUUCUACCAAAGGAUGUGGAAGUCAUACGUCUGCCAAAUAGGUCUAUGCCGAAUAAGUGUAACUGUUCAGAGAUGGUGAGGCAGAACCUGGUGAAAUUGCUGGAAAAGGUGAAGGCGAAAAACUCUAAUGACCCAAAGCGGAUAUCCAUAAAACCUUAUAUCCAUAACCUUUUGAAGAAAGUGAAGGGUAACUUAAACCUGCUGGAGCUGACCAAGGGAGAAGAUGUUUGCCUUCUGGACCAAGUCAGUGCAGAAAGAAGAAAGACGCACAGUAAAUUUCUAAAAGAAGUUCUAGACAAAUACACUACGUUCAUCCAAACCUUGAGUGAACGCUGCA